rnacentral:tRNA from 1 species
GGAAAUACAGCUUAGUGGUUGAGUGCAUGCUUAGCAUGCACAAGGUACUGGGUUCAAUCCCCAGUACCUCCU